rnacentral:rRNA from 1 species
AACGAACGCUGGCGGCGUGUCUUAAGCAUGCAAGUCGAGCGGCAAGCAGUAGCAAUACUGCCUAGAGCGGCGGACUGGUGAGUAACGCGUGGGUGAUCUGCCCUUGGGAUGGGGAUAGCCGUUAGAAAUAGCGGGUAAUACCGAAUGUGAUCGUAGGGUUGCGGCCUUACGAUGAAAGGCGCUCCGGCGCCGCCCGAGGAUGAGCCUGCGUCUCAUUAGCUAGUUGGUGGGGUAAAAGCCUACCAAGGCGAUGAUGAGUAGCCGGCCUGAGAGGGUGUACGGCCACACUGGGACUGAGAUACGGCCCAGACUCCUACGGGAGGCAGCAGCUAAGAAUAUUCCGCAAUGGACGAAAGUCUGACGGAGCGACGCCGCGUGGAUGAUGAAGGCCGUGAGGUUGUAAAAUCCUUUUGCUGGGGAAGAAUAACCAUGGGAGGGAAUGCCCGUGGGAUGACAUGAACCGGCGAAUAAGCCCCGGCUAACUACGUGCC